UCCAUCUUUUAUGCUUUUCCAUUGACUUAUCUCCCUUGGGUAAGAUCUCAAACAUGUCAGCUCCCAGUGAUGGUUUGGCAGACAAAUGUUUACAGUGAAGUUUGUGACUUUAAUAAUCUAGGAUGAGCAUGUGGGCUAUCCCAGCCUUAUACAUCUACAUAUUACAAACUAUUUAAGAUAUCUGAAUGCACUAAAGACCAAAAUAGCAUUUUCAAAAAAAAUAAUUACUGCCAAGAAAUUUGACAAUCAUGACAAUAAUUUAGUGAAUAAACAUGAUAAAUAUUGAUUGGAAAAAUAAGUCCAUGAACAGCAAAAAGUGUUUUUAGAUUUCAACGAGCAAAACAAAAAAAAAAGUGAGCGAGUGGAACCACCUUGCUCGCACCAAAAUUGAGAUUGAGAGUGUCAAAACUGCUCUGGCGCACCAUCAAUAAAUCAACGACACUCUCUCUACCGUGGUAUUGAAACCAGCAUUGGUAACCAAACAUAUUCAUACAGAUACAGACUACCAUUCAUCUACAUUUAGGAAGUCUGAGUAAUACUGAAAACUAUGGUGUAGAAUUUCCAACAGGACUCCUUAUUUUAUAUAAGACAAGGAGUGGUUUAUUUUCCCAUGGUUGUUACAUCAUCUUGUCUUUGAAUAUGCUCGAAGUACAGGGACUUUUAUGGAAUUCAUUGACAUGAUAGUCAAGCAAGAUGUCAACAUCUCGUCCAACCCUCUUCCAGCAAAGCCAAAGCUGACCAAGGAUCUUCACCCUUUCAAAACAGGCUGUAUACAGGACGAGUUAUUCCAGUAGGAACAGGGCUAUAUAUAUGCAAGCAAUGCUCAAUUAAGAUGAAUUUUUGUAAAAGUGACAAUAGCCAGGUCAAACUAAAUACAUGUAUAGAAGAAGAUAUUGAUCUAGACUCGCAGCUAACCUUUCAGUCAGUGUCAACAACAACUGAACUUUCACAGCAGUCAACAUCAGAUUGGGAGACUGAUAAUGCUUCUAACAGAAACAAUUUCAACCAACCAAACAAGCAACAGAAACUUUCCAACUUUAAAACAUCAGUUAAAUCUUCCAUGGGAUGAUGUCUCAAAAAAUAACAGUUCAUCAUUUAUGGAGAUUUUAAUGUUAUGGUUUUUCUUUUACAAGAAAGUUAAUGUACACUUGUUUUAUAGUAAAACCUAUAGCCGUUCAAGUAUAAAAAAACACAUUCAACUAUAUUGAAAUUUGAAGAUUCAUAUGACUUAUUUUAAUUCUGUUAUCUCCGAGGAUGUGAUGUAGAGCAUUAUAGGUACAGUAAUCUUAACAGCUAUACAAUUUCAUUCAAAAUUCUUUAUAAAUUUUGCACUGGUAUAUAUAGACUAAGUAAUUUGUUUUUCGUCUAGUUAUGGGAUUUUUUUUUAAAAGCAUUUAUGAUUUUCAUGUUUGUAUUGACCACAUUGCAGCAACAUAGAUAUAGGUACCUGGCAAAUCUUGCCUUGUUAGCAUACUAGGCUCAAAGGGUCAUAAAAAAAUUUCCAUCACUAAGUGUCUGUUAAAAUCAUCUGUUUACAGUUUUCACUUUUAAACCAUCAUCUUAAUAACUUUAGAAGAAGUGUCAUACAUAUAUAUAUGUAUACAAAAUUUAAAAACUUUUCAAUAUAUGUAUAUAUAUAUAUAUUGAUAAAAACUAUCAACAUGACAAGAUCUAAAUACCCAAAUUUUUUCUGAAAAAUUGGACAUAACAUCUAUGAGCUAUUGUCCCUGAAAUGUGUAAAUUUACAAAUUUUCACAGUUUUCUGCUACUAUCCGACAACUAUAUCAAUAUAUUAUAAGAAUAAAUUGCAAAAGUGGUCAGAAGAAACUUUUUUUUUACAGUCUGAACUUAUUCUGAAUUGUUUAACUUCUAAUUUAAAUUGAUUGCGUUUGAAAUAUGUGUUUUUUAUCGUUUUAGGUUCACAAUUUGUCAAUACGAUCUAUUUCGGCUCCUGGGAGCCUCUAGAUUUAUAAUGAAUAAUUUGUAUUUAUGUAUGAUUAUUUUCUUAAUGUAUUAAAUGAAACAUUAAUUAUUCUU